CUCAGCCAAGCAGCUUCCUAUCCUACUGAAUCUGAGGCAAGAAAUGCUAGUUGAUACCUCUGUAUUUUGGUAAUUUGUUAUGCAACAUUCCAUGACCAGAGCCUGAGACUAACAAGCAGUUCAAGAAACCCCAAGAGAUUCUUGGAACCACUCUCCUGAGGAUAGGAGAAUCUGCUUUCCAAGCUGCAACGGUGGAAGAGUGGUUUAGAAUGCAAAUGCUGGUGUGGGAUUGUGAAGAUGCCACCAGCCUCCUGGCAGCGAGGACUCUGAACAUCAGUAUGAGGAAUGCUGCUAGUACAUAAUACAGUACAACAGAGAAGGAUGUGGUUGGGGUCCUGGUGAUAUACUGGAUCACCUAUUAACAUUCCUUUGCUCAUUUUGAUGGUACAUAGACAAACACAGCAGUCAUCCUAAGAAGGGUGUGGACAUCAGCGUCAGGAGUGAAGGUCUGGGUUAUGCCAACAGUGUGGAUCCUGAAGCCAUUUCUUCACACUAAUCUCCAGCCCACAGCAUUUUCCCUGGGAAACCUAUCUCAACUGGAAUAUUAUUGGCAUACCUGAUGAAAUCUGCCCUUCUAACCCCCUCGGAGAAUUAUUAACUGCACUCCCCAGAGCCUCAGCGACAGCAUUUGCCUCCAGGGCCCAAGACAACAGCAAGGCUGGUGAUCAGAACCUGCUCUUCCUAUGUCCUCAUAACAACCCACUGAGACAGAGACAGACGUGCCCAUUUCACACAUGAUACAGAGUGGAGCUGUCUUCCUGGUCACACAGGGGCUCGG